rnacentral:rRNA from 1 species
UAGGGUGCAAGCGUUGUCCGGAAUUAUUGGGCGUAAAGCGCGCGCAGGCGGUCCUUUAAGUCUGAUGUGAAAGCCCACGGCUCAACCGUGGAGGGUCAUUGGAAACUGGGGGACUUGAGUGCAGGAGAGAAGAGUGGAAUUCCACGUGUAGCGGUGAAAUGCGUAGAGAUGUGGAGGAACACCAGUGGCGAAGGCGACUCUUUGGCCUGUAACUGACGCUGAGGCGCGAAAGCGUGGGGAGCAAACAGG